CCCGCCUCUGGGCGGGGGCCCAAGCGAUUUCCGAGUGCUGAAACCUGGGAUGACAGAGCAGCCCAGGGAAAGCGCGUGUUCCAGUUUACUAGAUACCACAGAAGUUUUUGCAUUUCUGACAAGUGGAUGGCCCCACCCUGACUCAUCAACCUGGGGAUCCACGAACCAACUCAGUGCAAGAGGACAGCUUCUACUUCUUAUGAUUUCACCUCUGACCCAACCAGUCAGCACUCCCCAUUCCCUGGCCCCGUACCUGUCAAACUAUCUGAAAAACCCCCUAACCUCUGAGCCUUUGGUGAGAUGGAUUUGAGUAACAACUCUGUCUCCCACGUGGCAUGGCCAGCCUCGCGUCAAUUAAACUUUC
rnacentral:lncRNA from 10 species